GGGACAUGCAAAAGGACACCAGAAGGGCUUCCUUACGUGGUAGGACACUUCAGCAGACCUCAACUCUGUGCUUGAAAACCUGCAGGAAGUCUCUCUCCACUUCACGAGAGACACCAAGAGGUGCUCCUGUGCUGCUGCUGCUGAAGCCGGUGAAGAAGGUUCCCUUCCUCAGGGGUAUUUCACUGCUGGAAGGAAGGAUACACGGAAUCCAGAGGCAGGAGGUGCCUGUGGAGAUGGGAUUGCUCUCCCAAAGAGAUUUGGCUGCUCCUGCAGGUGGAAGGAAGCUUUGCCCUUCUCCAACCACCUGACAGCAUCUGGAAGAGUGAAGGUGAUGGGCUCGAGGUUUUUCCUCAGGCUUGUGCAGAAUGUGACAAACACUGAGCCUGGGGCCUUUGUGAGACAAUGGGAAGAGUGUGCCUUGUGUCCCAGCUGUGUCCCAGAGCUGUACUGCCAACAGGCCUGCACAGCAAUGGGACUGAUCCAGAGAUCUCUUUCACGUGUGGUGAGGUUUGGGAAUGCAGUUUUUGUGUGUCAUUGAUGGAAGUGUGGCUUUUACUCACUGAGGAUGUGCCUCCCAGCUUCAGCAGCUCUAAUGCACAGCUGCACUUCUCAGCCUGCCUGCAUCCCAACACAGAGCUUGCACGCUGUAGAGACUCAGAAGAGGGGGGAUAGAAAUAUUGUCUACUAUAAGAGAAUUAAAGAGGAAAAAAGAGGAAAAUAAUCUAAUGUGGCUCAGGGCUCCCUCAUGUUUUACAGAAGGCUUCUUCCAU
rnacentral:lncRNA from 1 species